rnacentral:rRNA from 1 species
UACGUAGGGGGCAAGCGUUGUCCGGAAUCAUUGGGCGUAAAGAGCGUGUAGGCGGUCCGGUAAGUCGGCUGUGAAAGUCCAGGGCUCAACCCUGGGAUGCCGGUCGAUACUGCCGGACUAGAGUUCGGAAGAGGCGAGUGGAAUUCCCGGUGUAGCGGUGAAAUGCGUGGAUAUCUGGAGGAACACCGGUGGCGAAGGCGGCAUCCUGGACCGGUAUUGACGCUGAGGCGGCGAAAGCUAGGGGAGCAA